GGGGAAUUUUCCGCAAUGGGCGAAAGCCUGACGGAGCAACGCCGCGUGAGGGAUGAAGGCCUCUGGGCUGUAAACCUCUUUUCUCAAGGAAGAAGAUCUGACGGUACUUGAGGAAUAAGCCACGGCUAAUUCCGUGCCAGCAGCCGCGGUAAUACGGGAGUGGCAAGCGUUAUCCGGAAUUAUUGGGCGUAAAGCGUCUGCAGGUGGUUUUAUAAGUCUACUGUUAAAUCUUAAGGCUCAACCUUAAAUCUGCAGUGGAAACUAUAAGACUUGAGUAUAGUAAGGGUAGAGGGAAUUUCCGGUGGAGCGGUGAAAUGCGUAGAGAUCGGAAAGAACACCAAUAGCGAAAGCACUCUGCUGGGCCGACACUGACACUGAGAGACGAAAGCUAGGGGAGCAAAUGGGAUUAGAUACCCCAGUAGUC
rnacentral:rRNA from 1 species